rnacentral:rRNA from 1 species
GUGAGGAAUAUUGGUCAAUGGGCGCGAGCCUGAACCAGCCAAGUAGCGUGAAGGAUGAAGGUCCUACGGAUUGUAAACUUCUUUUAUAAGGGAAUAAAGUCACCCACGUGUGGGUGUUUGUAUGUACCUUAUGAAUAAGCAUCGGCUAACUCCGUGCCAGCAGCCGCGGUAAUACGGAGGAUGCGAGCGUUAUCCGGAUUUAUUGGGUUUAAAGGGAGCGUAGACGGGUCGUUAAGUCAGCUGUGAAAGUUCGGGGCUCAACCUUGAAAUUGCAGUUGAUACUGGCGUCCUUGAGUACGGUUGAGGCAGGCGGAAUUCGUGGUGUAGCGGUGAAAUGCUUAGAUAUCACGAAGAACCCCGAUUGCGAAGGCAGCCUGCUAAACCGCCACUGACGUUGAGGCUCGAAAGUGUGGGUAUCAAACAGGA